GUCUCCUCCCUGUUCCGUCAUUGGCUGGGAAGUCACGUGUGUCCGGAUUAACCUCAGCUGUUAGCAGUUGCGAGGGUAAUCAUGUCCGCAUAUAUACCGCGCGCUUCCCAGCACACAACGCGGAAGAUUAAGUAGUAAGUAAUAAGAAGUGAAUGUUUAGCUGUAGUCCGUGUCAUAGUCAUAGUCAUAGUCAUAGUCAGUUCGCGCUGGAUAUCCGCUUCCAGUUCAUCGUCAUAGUUUGUUUCUUGUUUUGGUUAUCGACCUAGAUUCCUGCCUAGCCCCGUGUAUACCUGUUUGCCAAUCGCCUGACCUCUUGCCUGUUUAUGAAUUACGUUUUGGAUCACGUUUUGGAUUUGUCUGCCUGCCUGUCUCUUUAAAUAAACAACUGUUAUCCUGCACUUGCAUCCGCCUUAUCUCUGCUUCGUAUCUCUGCUAUGAUGUGUGACAUCAGUCAGAUGCAAAGGGUGGAAGGAUGCUUCUGGAGGACAGGAUCUUCACAGUAGAUGAAUUUUAUUCGCAGAAGGCGUUCAGGUGGAGAAAUACGGGAGUGUAGUCUCCCUUCCUGUCUAACUGAAGGUGUGAAUGCCUACCCGAUAUAGCGCUUCAGUUCCCUGUACAGUAUAAUAAAAGGGUCUUCACGUGACAGUGUGUACCACGUAUCUAUCUUCUUAAGUGUCUAGCAACUUAUCCUAUGGUGAGAAUCAGCCAAAAGAGAAUCAAGCAGAUUUUAAACAAGAUUUCCUGAGGUGCU
ensembl:lncRNA